rnacentral:lncRNA from 1 species
GCUUGUUCUGUAAUAUACAAAUUAAAAUAGAAAUGAAUACAUAGAAAAAGCAAAGUUGGUUCUUUGGCCAGAAGCUUGCUUCCACAGUCAUAAAGAUACAGACAGGUAGAUCUAUCACUUUAAUUUAAAAAUGAAAAUCCCUUUAGAAAACUGCCAGACAUUCAGCCCUGGCCAAAUGGAUUUGAAAGGAUUGUUAUUUCUCCUGCUGUCAACUGGCUCUGGGAGAGUUACUGCUGGCAGGCUCAUUCAUAGAAGGAUUUGCAGUGGGGCCACCAAUGUACCAUCAUUCUUGACUUUGAAGGAAGAAGUUCCAGGGGCUUAAUCUUGAAACAGGGAGACCAAGUCUGGAGACCCAGCUGCAAAGUUCCAGAGAUUACUUCCAGGUGGCUCAUUAACAACCUGGCCAUUGUUGUGAUGACGUCAGCCUGAGGUCUCAGGUCCCAGGUCCCAGGUGGACUGAGACCCAAGACAGCCACCAGAACAAGACACACAGACAUUGUACUCAGCCCAAUGCUUGAAUGCCUUCCUUAUCAAGUUUUCCCAUUUUAAACCCUUGCCUUCCCCCCAAAAUCAAAGCAGUUACUUUGGAUAGGAAUCCAGCUGCUUCUUCUUUACUAGUUUUGGUUAAUAAAUUCACUUUCUUCCUA